UUUUUUUUUUUUUUCUGGGGAAGGAGAAAAGAGCAAAAGGUGAGUGGAUGAAUAGAUUAGAUAAAAAGAAAAUCCUUUUCUUGGUGAAGGAUAAGAAAAGAGGAAGACCCUUUAAAACAGUAACCUUCCUUUCCUGUUUUCUGCAGCUACAGAGAAAUGGAGAGGAAGGAGCGAAGUAGCGUGUUGGCAAAACGAAGAAGAAGAGUAACG
rnacentral:misc_RNA from 1 species